AAAACAACCUAAUUAUUCACACCCAAAACCAAUUGUUUGUGGCCCAUUACCCCUACAUAUAAAAGAUAAUUAGGAAACCUAAAGGAGAGAAAGAAAAUCCAUCAGAUCUUUUUCCAAGAAUAGGACAAAACGGCGCAAGACUGGAGACUCAGUUUUCUUCUUCUUUGUAAAUUUUUCUCAAAAACACACACUGAAAAAAAUUCUUUAUUGGCUUCUGCAACGAUUUCUUCUCCAUCUCUCCUUUCUCUUUCUAUAGUUAAGAAUUUCUUAGAUUUUCAAGCUACAUAGCUGCAGUUAUUGAAAUAAAAAGGGAAAAUAUGGGAUUAUAUGAAAAUUGAUUACAAGGGUCAAGGCUAAUGAUCUUUAAAAAUACCGAGCAAACAGCGCCCUCAUCUGUAGGCAACUCUCGUCUUCAACAAAACUGACCUUCACUAAGUUGAAGUAGAAAUUUCGAAAUUUAAGAAGUUCAAAGGAUAGAAAUUUAACACACAUAAAAGUUUCGAACAAGAUGAGUUGAAAGCAAUCUGGACAACCGCCAAUUUUUGUUGGAUUUGCACCACAUUCUCUGAGAAUUUUAAGUCUUUCUUUAGACUGGGAAUUGAAGUUGUUCUUGCUAAGUUUGUGUUGCUGAGACCUUGUUUAUUUCUUGCCGAUUCCUUGUUCCCCUGCUGUAAAGCACGAAUUUAGAUUUGGAAUUGUAUCGUGAUGCUUUCAAACUGGAGCAUGUAUAUAGUGUAUGGUAAAUUAUUUAUACGUUUUUGGUUAUUCCUUUGGGCUAAUCUUUCAUGACAAUGUGAUAUAAACAGAGGGAGUAAAAUCUAAUGCAACGAGAAAUAAAUCCCAUAUUUAGUUGCUAUUUUGAUUGUGAAAGUGGUACUAUUUAAUGGAUAUUUGUAUUUACAUAAAGUAAUCUGAUAGUGAAAGAGG
rnacentral:lncRNA from 1 species